UUAAGGGAUAUUCCUUAGUAAAAUGUUCUGAUCAUCUUGGAAGCCCUGCUGGUAAAACAGAGAUGAAAAUAUCUUCAUUUAUCACUAUAUUACAUCAACAUGGACAGGCUGUGUUUGCACCUUGGUUCCACCAUUCAGUAACUGUGUGUCUUGGACAGCUUACUUAAACUUGCUGCAUUUUUGGCUUCUCAUCUGUGAAGUGAGCAGCUGCCAAAGGUCAUCUGACAUAAUAGCUGAUGAAUUCAAGCCCAGUGGAUUUCAUUUGCAAUUUUCAAUUUACUGAGGCCUCCAAACCCCACGGUGAUAAAAGCUUCCCCUAUCGUGGCCUGUCACAAACAUCAAGAAACUGCACAAACCCACAAGAAAGAAAAAAGAGGGAGCUGUGCAUCAUCACAGCUAUAGAUAAGGAGAACAGGAAGAAAUGGCAUCAAGCAGGAAGGUGGGGAGCAGCCUGUGUGGCUAGUUCUCUAAAUGCCAAUUGAAAGGAAAAGACUAUGAGGACCAAUCAAAUAACUUCCACAGAAUAACAACAUGUUUCUUUGGAGCUUUUGUGUGAAAACUGCCUUCUAAUCUCUGACGCAACAUGCUCCCACACAAAAGUGUAAGUGUAAAUAUGCAAAUAAGUAAAUGAAUAAAUUAUCCUUGCUUACCUGGUCA